rnacentral:rRNA from 1 species
CUACGGAGGGUGCAAGCGUUACUCGGAAUCACUGGGCGUAAAGCGCGCGCAGGCGGCUUGAUAAGUUGGAUGUGAAAGCCUACGGCUCAACCGUAGAACUGCAUCCAAAACUGUCAGGCUAGAGUGUGGGAGAGGAAGAUGGAAUUAGUUGUGUAGGGGUAAAAUCCGUAGAGAUAACUAGGAAUACCAAAAGCGAAGGCGAUCUUCUGGAACAGUACUGACGCUGAGGCGCGAAAGCGUGGGGAGCAAACAGGAUUAGAAACCCGAGUAGUCC